UGUGCCAUGUCCCGGCUCCACUGUAACGAUGAGCUCUGGUGUGAUAGUGCUCCUCCUUAUCCGGGGAGACACCCAGGACUGCAAUCCAGAUCCAAGCAACCCAGAGUCCCACUCAGUACUAGCAAAGAGACCCUUGUAAUCUCCUUCUGUCCAGAUGUUCGACCCCCUUAUCUUCUGUGAGCUGAGAACUCUGCAAGCAGCUACCACUGUUGCUGAUUCCGUGGCUUCCAUGGCUUCCUCAUGCUUUACUGGGGUUGGGGCUGUGCUGGAUGAAGCCUGCUUCACUCUAGACUGUGUUCUACUCUCGUCCAGGUGCGGCAGACCUUUCUUGUUGACUUUCUAAGUUGUCUUUGACUGGAAAAAUUAUUUCACCCUGUACUUAGGUGUGUUCUGCUGCUCCAGAAAUUGAUCUAUGGCAUUAUUUAAAAGUGUUCAGGAGUUUGGAGGAGGCUCUGAUGAGAAAGCUAAAGUCUGGAAAGGCAUGACUUUUUCAAAGUCAUAUGAACAAACUCAGUCCCCACUAUACUUCUUAUGGUACCCACUGAGAUGACCAAGGAGAGAACUGACAACAUGGAAUUGAGAAUUGUGCAGUUAAGGAUACAAUCACCAUCUCUUUCACUUGUAUUCAAGGCCCUCCAUUUGAACCCAGUCUACCUAUCUGACCAUACUUCCUCCUACUGCUCUAUAUAGCCUCUCUGCUCCAUUUAAGCUGGACUAUUUUUUAUUCACUAAAUAAAUUGCAUGUUUUUCUCUCUGUGAU